UUGGAUUUACGGCCCCCUUAGUCAAUCCACACUGAUCUUAUCUGGAAAUCUUAACAAGUACAAAUGCAAAGACCCUUUUCCAAAUAAGAUCACAUUCACGGGAGGUGGACCUUGUUUGAAGGACGCUGCUAUUCAACCCAACACAUUUCUCCCAGGGUUUACUCCGAGAGCUUCCCUCCCCUGCAAAUGUCAGAGAGUGAGGGUUUGAUGAGGAAUUCCCGUGCGGAAUGGGGCGUUAUUUCGGUGAGCUGGAGGUGUUUGUCUGGGGCAGGUGGACCGGGUCAUCUUCCUCUCACACAGAUAUCCUCUCACUCUCCUCCCAUCACGCCCUGAGAGGCAUAAAGCCCCCUUAUCUAAAAUGGAAGGGGUGGCCGGGCGCGGUGGCUCACACCUGUAAUCCCAGCACUUUGGGAGGUCAAGGCAGGUGGAUCACCUGAGGUCUGGAGUUCAAGACCAGCCUGGCCAACAUGAUGAAACCCCGUCUCUAUUAAAAAUACCAAAAAUUAGCCAUGUUGGUGGCGCAUGCCUGUAAUCCCAGCUAUUUGGGAGGCUGAGGCAGGAGAAUUGCUUGAACCCAGGAGGUGGAGGUUGCAGUGAGCCGAGAUCCUGCCAUUACACUCCAGCCUGGGCAACAGAGCGAGACUCUGUCUCAAAAGAAAAAAAAAUAAAUAAAAGGAAGGGGGCUGACUGGGCUGUGGGUGGCAGGUGACAGCAGCUGGGGUUAUGGGGCAGGGGGCAGCUCUCCUACGUUGGAUGCAGCAGAUGUGUCUGUCCAGGGCCUGUCCCCUCCUUGGGCAGGCUCCCUACCUUUGCUAAGCCUCAGUUUCUUGGGCUGGAAGAGGGACAAAGGAUUUAUCUCAAAGGGAGCCAGUGAAGGCUGAAUUAAAUACAGGCUGGGAAGUGCAGGUCAGUGGGAUACACGUGCGCAUGGCGAGGGUACCCUCUUUUUGGGGCUCCACUUUGGGCCCUGGAGAAGGUGAGGAAGGAGGGAGGGGUUCCUUUGGGUCCCCAGGGCACUGCUGUGGCCAGGAGCUUCUGGGAGCCUCCAGCCAAUGGAGAGUGGGAGCUGCUCUGUCCCUGAAUGUGCCCCCACUCUGGUGGGAGGGCCCUCACCCCACACACCUGUCGGAUCUGCUUGAACCCAUCAGGUGGGAUGUUGGAGAAGAUGUUGCACUCAGGCUCGGCGAGGAUCUGGAAGGCCACGGCGCAGUGGUGGUUCUCCAGCGGUGAGAUGUCAUUGUAGCGGACCGCCAGCUCUGUGCGGGCAUUGAUCUGGUAACUGGGAGGCAAGGAGAGAGUGAGGGGAGACUCAGGCGCCCUCACCAGGCACCUGCAUGGGGGAGCAACACCCAGCCAUGUAAGUGGAGCAAGUAGAGUCGGGAGAAGGUGCCGUGGGGGCUGGGGGAGCCGCCUGUGCCCUGGCCCGGCCAGGAGGUCUCUCCUGCCGCUCAGCUGCCCCUGCAACUGCACGUCCCCAUGCUCCUGCAGUCCCACCAGACAGACACCUCUGAGGAUGCGGCAUGCUCCCUGGGACAGGCCCUGAGGCAUCACGGCCUCUUGUGAAAUUAUCAGACGUCACCAGGUGCCAGAGGCAGGUGGGCAGAACAAGGCUGAGGUUCACUGGGAUGCUGUGGUCAAGGCCUCUGCUGACCUGUGCUGUGCCGGCCACUGUGAGUGUGAAAUGAGCAAAAGGGGAACAGAUGGGUGUGCAUGGUGAUGGCCCCGGGAGGAGCGCUGACAGCCACACCUCGGAACCCACUAGGCACUGACACAUGGCAGCAGAGCUCUGAGGCAUGUGAUGACAUCACCACACAAACACACAGUUCAACAGAGAGAGCUGCUGCGCCACUGAGGACACAGACCCAAGCCCAUGGCCUGGACCUUGUCUGCCACAUGGGGUGGAACUCUGUGCCUGUGGAGGCAGGAGUGGAGCAACGGUCUGUCCUUCUGAUCCCUGGCCCCACGAGGGACACCUCACUCCCACCUCCUGUCCCUCUGCAGUCCCUCUUUUCCCUCUCUUCUGCUCUCUUCUGGCUCCUGCCUGUGCUUUCCCUGCGGAAGCCAGCUGGGAGCCUGCCCAGGGAGAGGCGAGCUCCUGAGAGGGGCGUGUGGAGCCCCCAUCCCUGCAUGCGGACAGGUGUUGCUCCCUGCCUGGGGUGGAGAAGGUGCCGGCGGGGCCAGGGCUCUGCCGCAUCUGGGGCCCCGCUGGGACCGAAGACACUUUAACGUCUUAACUGCAGUGCCCAGAUGCGGCCCCUGCCCCAGCAAGCGGCUCCUCCUAACCCUUUUUCAUGGAGCCCUGUCUUCUAUCAAUAUCCCUGUUCAAGUUGAAAUAGAUUUUGUUUUCAGUCCCAAA
rnacentral:lncRNA from 1 species